AUCUUGUCGACACAUCUUUUCCUGUAAUACCCUAUUAUGUCAAUAGGUGGCAGUGUAAGAGUGGAAUAAUUAAGUUCUGGCGAGGAAUGGAAAGAGGGGAGGAGCACUCCGUCACUUAUUCCAUGCCAGCGUGACGUGGGCAGUCUAUGCAAAGUCAUCCCAACUUCACCAUCUUAUAUACUCUCACCAUCAAAUGAAAUUGUAUGCAACGGCUGUUUUGGAGACUACAUCAGUAGAAUGGAGCUGAGGAUCAUUUGGUGCACUGUUGUGUUUUUGGUCUACCCAGACAGUGGUAGAGGCCAGACUAUGAGUGAGUCUGAGUCAGUGGUUCUUAAACCUGGAGACUCCCACAAACUGACCUGCACGUACUCUGGCUUUAGCAGUGAUCCUUAUGUAGCUUGGAUCAGACAAGCAGCUGGAAAAGGGCUGGACUGGUUGUCUUAUAUUUACCCUGGCAGUGACUAUAUAUAUUACUCACAAGCUGUCCAGGGAAGGUUCACAACGACCAGAGACAACAGCAAGAGUCAAGUCUUUUUACACAUGAG